rnacentral:rRNA from 1 species
GACGAACGCUGGCGGCGUGCUUAACACAUGCAAGUCGAACGGAAAGGCCGUGCCUAUGUGGGGUGGUCGAGUGGAGAACGGGUGAGUAACACGUGAGUAACCUGCCAUUGACUGUGGGAUAACCUAAGGAAACUGGGGCUAAUACGGGAUAGGAGCUACUGCUGCAUGGUGGGGGUUGGAAAGUUUAGGCGGUUGGGGAUGGAAUAGCGGCUUAUCAGCUUGUUGGUGGGGUAGUGGCUUACCAAGGCUUUGACGGGUAGCCUGCCUGGUAUGGUGACCUGCCACAUUGGGACUGAGAUACGGCCCAGACUCCUACGGUAGGCAACAGUGCGGUAUAUUGCAUUAUGGGCUGAACCCUGAUGCAGCCACGCCGCGUGCGGUAUGACGUCCUUCGGUUUGUAUUCCGCUUUCGCCUGUCACGAGGCGUGAGUGACGGUAAUGGGUAAAGAAGCUCCGGCUAACUACGUG